AACACUUUCUUCAACUAAGCAAGAAGACAUGGUUGAUGUGAAUCUGAAGUCAAGCAGUGGAACCGCAUCACAGUCUCAGGCUCAGUCAGGUGGAUGUGCCUGUUGAUGCGUGGAAAAUUUGGCAUACCAAUUCUCUGAUUUUGUUGCCAUAAGAAUUUUGAACAAUUUUCAUUUAGUUUACUUCCCUUUUUUCUUGCUGCUCUUCCUGUUUGCUGGAGAUUUUGGGAUUAAAAAAAAAAGAAAGUGGCUGAAGCACUAGGAGUAGAAAAAGCUGCGAUUCAUUCUGUGUUUCUUAGGCUGUCCAUAGUUUUUGAUACAGGUGCGGUUUUGGUUUUAGUUUGAGUUUUGCCUAGAAACCGAAAUUGACCAGAAAUUUGGUAUAAUUUCAAUUUGGUCUUCCAAUGAUUCAGUUUCAAUUUGAUUCAUUUCUCG
rnacentral:misc_RNA from 1 species